rnacentral:rRNA from 1 species
GGGUGAGUAACACGUGAGCAACCUGCCCUGGACUCUGGGAUAAGCGCUGGAAACGGUGUCUAAUACCGGAUAUGAGCUCCUGCCGCAUGGUGGGGGUUGGAAAGAUUUUUUGGUCUGGGAUGGGCUCGCGGCCUAUCAGCUUGUUGGUGAGGUAAUGGCUCACCAAGGCGUCGACGGGUAGCCGGCCUGAGAGGGUGACCGGCCACACUGGGACUGAGACACGGCCCAGACUCCUACGGGAGGCAGCAGUGGGGAAUAUUGCACAAUGGGCGGAAGCCUGAUGCAGCAACGCCGCGUGAGGGACGACGGCCUUCGGGUUGUAAACCUCUUUUAGCAAGGAAGAAGCGAAAGUGACGGUACUUGCAGAAAAAGCGCCGGCUAACUACGUGCCAGCAGCCGCGGUAAUACGUAGGGCGCAAGCGUUAUCCGGAAUUAUUGGGCGUAAAGAGCUCGUAGGCGGUUUGUCGCGUCUGCUGUGAAAUCCCGAGGCUCAACCUCGGGUCUGCAGUGGGUACGGGCAGACUAGAGUGCGGUAGGGGAGAUUGGAAUUCCUGGUGUAGCGGUGGAAUGCGCAGAUAUCAGGAGGAACACCGAUGGCGAAGGCAGAUCUCUGGGCCGUAACUGACGCUGAGGAGCGAAAGGGUGGGGAGCAAACAGGCUUAGAUACCCUGGUAGUCCACCCCGUAAACGUUGGGAACUAGUUGUGGGGUCCAUUCCACGGAUUCCGUGACGCAGCUAACGCAUUAAGUUCCCCGCCUGGGGAGUACGGCCGCAAGGCUAAAACUCAAAGGAAUUGACGGGGACCCGCACAAGCGGCGGAGCAUGCGGAUUAAUUCGAUGCAACGCGAAGAACCUUACCAAGGCUUGACAUACACGAGAACGCCGCAGAAAUGUGGAACUCUUUGGACACUCGUGAACAGGUGGUGCAUGGUUGUCGUCAGCUCGUGUC